GUGAGGAGGUCCUGGCUGUGCUGCUGGAGAAGGAGGCUGUGCAGAGAGGCCGCGGGGGAUGAGGUGCCACAUGGACAGAGGGGCCCCGAGGCGGGAGAGCUCACGUGUGCCAGCCGACAGGCAGCCCAUGUGACGGGGGUCUUCUCAGGCCUUGCGCCCAUCACCAACUGAACGCGGCUGUGUGCGUGGUUUCAGCUGACUGACGCGGAGCAGAAGGCCAGCCCAGUCAACUGGAGACUCACGAGAAAUAGUAAAUCACUGUGGCUUUAAGACACUAAGUUCUGGAGCGUUCGUUACACAGCGAUAGUUCACUGAAACAGGAGCCUUUGCUGAACCGAGACACCAGGAGCCAGGAAACCAGGAAACUACGUCUCCCGUCAGAGUCUCACUCGCUGUGAAAAUGGCGUAUCUCAGAUAGGGGCUAUUCCUGCAACCUGGAUCCUGGAUCCCGCGAGUGGAGGAGAGAUGCAGAUGCUGUAGUUGCCACAGGCGACUGUAAUAUUCUUCACGCUUCUGCUGACACCCUCCAGGAUGGAGGCCAUAAAACAGAGUCAGGGGACAUCAGAUUCCCUUCCCGGGGUGUGACAAGCAUGAGGUCUGGAACACGCUUGGACUCAAUGAACGUGCGUUGCUCUGAACUGAAUUAUCAGCUGCCUUUGUCCCAGACUUCACCCAUCCUUGAGAAUGAGCAUCUAGCUAACUAGGGGCAAGCGGUCCAUCCUCUAUGGUAGACACUGCCUGGUAGAUACAUAACCCUGGCCGGUAGCAAGGCGCCACAGUUCACUGAAAAGAAGAUGCGGUACAGACUCACGUGCCAGCUCCACCACGUGUUGGCCAGCCCAGCCGAGAAGAAACUUCGACUUCAGAUGACGCUUUCCAAAAGGUUCCACGUUCA
rnacentral:lncRNA from 1 species